GACUAACGCUGGCGGCGUGCUUAACACAUGCAAGUCGAACGGAAAGGCCCUGCUUUUGUGGUGGGCUCGAGUGGCGAACGGGUGAGUAACACGUGGGUAACCUGCCCUGGACUUUGGGAUAACUUCAGGAAACUGGGGCUAAUACCGGAUAGGAGCUCCUGCUGCAUGGUGGGGGUUGGAAAGUUUCGGCGGUUGAGGAUGGACUCGCGGCUUAUCAGCUUGUUGGUGGGGUAGUGGCUUACCAAGGCUUUGACGGGUAGCCGGCCUGAGAGGGUGACAGGCCACGUUGGGACUGAGAUACGGACCAGACUCCUACGGGAGGCAGCAGUGGGGAAUAUUGCACAAUGGGCGGAAGCCUGAUGCAGCAACGCCGCGUGCGGGAUGACGGCCUUCGGGUUGUAAUCCGCUUUCGCCUGUGACGAAGCGUGAGUGACGGUAAUGGGUAAAGAAGCACCGGCUAACUACGUG
rnacentral:rRNA from 1 species